rnacentral:rRNA from 1 species
UUCGCCCUUAGAGUUUGAUCCUGGCUCAGAGCGAACGCUGGCGGCAGGCUUAACACAUGCAAGUCGAGCGGGCGUAGCAAUACGUCAGCGGCAGACGGGUGAGUAACGCGUGGGAACGUACCUUUUGGUUCGGAACAACACAGGGAAACUUGUGCUAAUACCGGAUAAGCCCUUACGGGGAAAGAUUUAUCGCCGAAAGAUCGGCCCGCGUCUGAUUAGCUAGUUGGUGAGGUAACGGCUCACCAAGGCGACGAUCAGUAGCUGGUCUGAGAGGAUGAUCAGCCACAUUGGGACUGAGACACGGCCCAAACUCCUACGGGAGGCAGCAGUGGGGAAUAUUGGACAAUGGGGGCAACCCUGAUCCAGCCAUGCCGCGUGAGUGAUGAAGGCCCUAGGGUUGUAAAGCUCUUUUGUGCGGGAAGAUAAUGACGGUACCGCAAGAAUAAGCCCCGGCUAACUUCGUGCCAGCAGCCGCGGUAAUACGAAGGGGGCUAGCGUUGCUCGGAAUCACUGGGCGUAAAGGGUGCGUAGGCGGAUCUUUAAGUCAGAGGUGAAAGCCUGGAGCUCAACUCCAGAACUGCCUUUGAUACUGGGGAUCUUGAGUUCGGGAGAGGUGAGUGGAACUGCGAGUGUAGAGGUGAAAUUCGUAGAUAUUCGCAAGAACACCAGUGGCGAAGGCGGCUCACUGGCCCGAUACUGACGCUGAGGCACGAAAGCGUGGGGAGCAAACAGGAUUAGAUACCCUGGUAGUCCACGCCGUAAAAGAUGA